CGAGCCCACGAGAUCUGAGGGACUCGCAGGACUUUGAUGUGCUCGAGCUGCUAGGCUGCGAUGAAUGGAUCGCAGUUUAGACAUUUCAAAGACCUUCACUUCACAAGUCGUUCACGGCAAAUAUUUGGAGGAGGGUAGCGCGAUCGGGUCGCAAGGAUGGAACCGCGCCGGCAGCCUGUGAAUUAGCUCCGAGUAUUCGGCUACCUAAUUCGGACUAUAAGCACUGCCCACCUGGCCGUGUCAUGAGCGGCGUCACCGCGACGGGUCACUCCGUCCGCCGGCGCGGAGGGAGGACGCAGCGCCCCCCGCACGUCUAAUGACGCACCGUCGUCUACGCGCCUCCAACGGUUCGCUUCACAGCGCGACCCAAAAUACGUCGCGUACCUAACACUGACAAAUUAGUUUAGCAGCCUGGAGAGUGAUUGAGGGAGGGAGAGAGAGAGAGAGAGAGUGAGAGAGAUUAUCAGAGGCAGGUAGGGUGUAAAAUGAUCAAAGGUCUGUCCUAAAUGUCUGCGACGGCAUCUUCUUAUUCUGGCCUACAAGGAGUAUAGUUUAGAAUGGGCCAAGAACAGGUUUUGUGAGGCAGCUGUGUUGAGUUUUUUGAGGCUAUUCUUUGCAAAAAGGUUCUUAAACGUGUGGCUAAAUUUCAGCAGUCAGCCCUAUGUUAUUGGCCGAAAUUCAUACUUGCCUACAAACCUGGAAGGUUUCCACAGCGCCAUGGUCUGUGGACAUUGGACACCUCCUAAUUUUUAUUUUUGCUGUGUACUCAAGUAUUUUGGUUCUUAAUGAUAAAACAGAUUAGACAAUCUGUGAGGCUAAUAGUACAGUGUGUAACCUUUUAACCUUGUAGCCUAUUUCUGGACAUGUUUUAUUAGUUCUGGAACAAUUGCACUUUUUAGGUUAAUUUAAGUAAGAACAACUACUAAGAAAAAAUAUCUUCUUAAAGGUUAAUUUUGUUAAUUGAGUUGUAGCAUGUAGCUAAAGUAAUAUAAAAGUUAAAUGAGUUAUAAGUGUUAUUAAAGUGUUUGGUUCUAAUAUACUACCAUAUUCUACAUACUAUUGUAUUAUUUCUAGAACAUGGGUAUAAUCUAUGUUAUGUUUUUGGUUGCAUAGUAUAACAUUCUAAAUUAUAUAGGUUCUACAACUACAGUAACGUUUAGAUUUUUUAUUGAGUUGGCUUUUUGAUUUUCCUUUUCAGAAAGCCAAAUUCAUGCUCUAUAUGAUAUAAAACGGAAGAAUAACUUGUGUUCUUUUUUGACCUUACUGGCCUCACUCACCAUCCCAAUACAAAUCCCAAUGUUUCCCAUCACCUAACGUGUCCAGAAAUAACAACCAGUCACUUGGCUAUACUUUAUAUCCGGCAGUCCUGUUUUUUCUUCUUCUGUUUUUUAAUGCUGAUGACAGCUUUACACCAAAGUAGUCUUAUUACACUUCUGUUACUCAUUCUUUUCUUUCAGCAUUCAACCCCUUUGCUUUUUCUUUCACAUACAACUGCCAGCUCUUCAUCCUUGUGCCUGCCCGACUUCUGAUAGCAAAGGUUAAGCAUAAAGAGGUUUGCUGGUUGGGGGCAUGCAAGAAACAGCUGGUUUUAUGUUACCAUAAUUUGCUUAAAUCCCAAUACACAAAUCUGCUGACAUCCUGUAAUUGCAAAGCACAUGCGAUUUGAAAUGUCUAAGGAACGAAAGGGAACAGUCUUCACUUUAACGUCUUGAACUGUGUCUAGAGUAGUGAGUUUUAUUCCACUGUCCUUAUACCUUACUGUUGUUAGACCAGACCUGACUAGACUAACUUCAAAUGACACAUUUUGCAAAUCGCCUGUAAUAAAACUGAGUCUGGA